UACUAAAUAUACUAUUUAAACUAAUUUCCCGAAUCCCCUUCUCCUUCAUACUAGAUCUCAGCCUCACUAGACGUCAGUUCUCCUCACCAGGGCCUGUUGAUACUGAAUCAGACUGAGGGAUAGUUAUUCUUACCAGGGCCUGUUUAUACUGAAUCAGACUGAGGGAUAGUUCUCCUCACCAGGGCCUGUUUAUACUGAAUCAGACUGAGGGAUAGUUCUCCUCACCAGGGCCUGCUGAUACUGAAUCAGACUGAGGGAUAGUUCUCCUCACCAGGGCCUGUUGAUACUGAAUCAGACUGAGGGAUAGUUCUCCUCACCAGGGCCUGCUGAUACUGAAUCAGACUGAGGGAUAGGAUAGUUCUCCUCACCAGGGCCUGCUGAUACUGAAUCAGACUGAGGGAUAGUUCUCCUCACCAGGGCCUGCUGAUACUGAAUCAGACUGAGGGAUAGGAUAGUUCUCCUCACCAGGGCCUGCUGAUACUGAAUCAGACUGAGGGAUAGUUCUCCUCACCAGGGCCUGCUGAUACUGAAUCAGACUGAGGGAUAGUUCUCCUCACCAGGGCCUGCUGAUACUGAAUCAGACUGAGGGAUAGUUCUC